rnacentral:rRNA from 1 species
GACGAACGCUGGCGGCGUGCUUAACACAUGCAAGUCGAACGGAAAGGCCCUGCUUUUGUGGGGUGCUCGAGUGGCGAACGGGUGAGUAACACGUGAGUAACCUGCCCUUGACUUUGGGAUAACUUCAGGAAACUGGGGCUAAUACCGGAUAGGAGCUCCUGCUGCAUGGUGGGGGUUGGAAAGUUUCGGCGGUUGGGGAUGGACUCGCGGCUUAUCAGCUUGUUGGUGGGGUAGUGGCUUACCAAGGCUUUGACGGGUAGCCGGCCUGAGAGGGUGACCGGCCACAUUGGGACUGAGAUACGGACCAGACGGCUACGGGAGGCAGCAGUGGGGAAUAUUGCACAAUGGGCGGAAGCCUGAGGCAGCAACGCCGCGUGCGGGAUGACGGCCUUCGGGUUGUAAACCGCUUUCGCCUGUGACGAAGCGUGAGUGACGGUAAUGGGUAAAGAAGCACCGGCUAACUACGUG